rnacentral:misc_RNA from 1 species
AAUGCUAUAAGUAAUGUGAAUUGCAGAAUUCAGUGAAUCAUCGAAUCUUUGAACGCACAUUGCGCCCGCCAGUAUUCUGGCGGGCAUGCCUGUUCGAGCGUCAUUUCAACCAUCAAGCCCCCGGGCUUGUGUUGGGGACCUGCGGCUGCCGCAGGCCCCGAAAACCAGUGGCGGGCUCGCUGUCACACCGGGCGUAGUAGAUUUUUCGUCUCGCCCAGGGCGUGCUGCGGGUUCCGGCCGUUAAAAAGCCUCUCUUUUAACCCAAGGUUGACCUCGGAUCAGGUAGGAAGACCCGCUGAACUUAAGC